CAAUAGCACAGUGGUAGUGCAGCUCACUUGUAAUGAGCAGGUCGUAGGUUCGAAUCCUACUUG
rnacentral:tRNA from 1 species